rnacentral:rRNA from 1 species
GACGAACCGUGCGAACGUUGUUCGGAAUCACUGGGCUUAAAGGGCGCGUAGGCGGCUCACCAAGUCCGGGGUGAAAGCCCCCAGCUUAACUGGGGAAGUGCCUUGGAUACUGGUGAGCUCGAGGGGGAUAGGGGCGGACGGAACUUCCGGUGGAGCGGUGAAAUGCGUUGAUAUCGGAAGGAACGCCGGUGGCGAAAGCGGUCCGCUGGGUCCCUACUGACGCUGAGGCGCGAAAGCCAGGGGAGCAAACGGGAUUAGAUACCCCGGUAGUCCUGGCCCUAAACGAUGGGUACUAGGCUGUGGGCUUGACAUGGGCUCACAGCCGAAGCGAAAGUGCUAAGUACCCCGCCUGGGGAGUAUGGUCGCAAGGCUGAA